UACGUAUGGUGCAAGCGUUAUCCGGAUUUACUGGGUGUAAAGGGCGUGUAGGCGGGACUGCAAGUCAGAUGUGAAAACCACGGGCUCAACCUGUGGCCUGCAUUUGAAACUGUAGUUCUUGAGUACUGGAGAGGCAGACGGAAUUCCUAGUGUAGCGGUGAAAUGCGUAGAUAUUAGGAGGAACACCAGUGGCGAAGGCGGCCUGCUGGACAGCAACUGACGCUGAGGCGCGAAAGCGUGGGGAGCAAACAGG
rnacentral:rRNA from 1 species